rnacentral:rRNA from 1 species
GAUGAACGCUGGCGGCGUGCUUAACACAUGCAAGUCGAACGGGAAACCUUUUAAAGAAGCUUCGGCAAAUUUAGCUGGUUUCUAGUGGCGGACGGGUGAGUAACGCGUGGGUAACCUGCCUUGUACAGGGGGAUAACAGUCAGAAAUGACUGCUAAUACCGCAUAAGCGCACAGGACCGCAUGGUCCAGUGUGAAAAACUCCGGUGGUAUAAGAUGGACCCGCGUUGGAUUAGCUAGUUGGUGGGGUAACGGCCUACCAAGGCGACGAUCCAUAGCCGGCCUGAGAGGGUGAACGGCCACAUUGGGACUGAGACACGGCCCAGACUCCUACGGGAGGCAGCAGUGGGGAAUAUUGCACAAUGGGGGAAACCCUGAUGCAGCGACGCCGCGUGAAGGAAGAAGUAUCUCGGUAUGUAAACUUCUAUCAGCAGGGAAGAAUUAGGACGGUACCUGACUAAGAAGCCCCGGCUAACUAC